rnacentral:rRNA from 1 species
CUCAGAUGAACGCGGGCGGCGUGCCUAAUACAUGCAAGUCGAGCGAACAGACAAGGAGCUUGCUCCUUUGACGUAGCGGCGGACGGGUGAGUAACACGUGGGUAACCUACCUAUAAGACUGGGAUAACUUCGGGAAACCGGAGCUAAUACCGGAUAAUAUUUCGAACCGCAUGGUUCGAUAGUGAAAGAUGGUUUUGCUAUCACUUAUAGAUGGACCCGCGCCGUAUUAGCUAGUUGGUAAGGUAACGGCUUACCAAGGCGACGAUACGUAGCCGACCUGAGAGGGUGAUCGGCCACACUGGAACUGAGACACGGUCCAGACUCCUACGGGAGGCAGCAGUAGGGAAUCUUCCGCAAUGGGCGAAAGCCUGACGGAGCAACGCCGCGUGAGUGAUGAAGGUCUUCGGAUCGUAAAACUCUGUUAUUAGGGAAGAACAUACGUGUAAGUAACUAUGCACGUCUUGACGGUACCUAAUCAGAAAGCCACGGCUAACUACGUGCCAGCAGCCGCGGUAAUACGUAGGUGGCAAGCGUUAUCCGGAAUUAUUGGGCGUAAAGCGCGCGUAGGCGGUUUUUUAAGUCUGAUGUGAAAGCCCACGGCUCAACCGUGGAGGGUCAUUGGAAACUGGAAAACUUGAGUGCAGAAGAGGAAAGUGGAAUUCCAUGUGUAGCGGUGAAAUGCGCAGAGAUAUGGAGGAACACCAGUGGCGAAGGCGACUUUCUGGUCUGUAACUGACGCUGAUGUGCGAAAGCGUGGGGAUCAAACAGGAUUAGAUACCCUGGUAGUCCACGCCGUAAACGAUGAGUGCUAAGUGUUAGGGGGUUUCCGCCCCUUAGUGCUGCAGCUAACGCAUUAAGCACUCCGCCUGGAGACACCAGUUGG